rnacentral:lncRNA from 1 species
CGGUAUUAUAAUUGGAUGUAACUCUCUUUUUCUUCUCUGGAAGGAAUUUUUAACUCCUCUUAGAUAUUAAUUAAGUUUAUAACAUUUUAAAAGUUAUUUUUAUUGCACUAAUUAUUGAAUUUUAAUCAAAUGCUUGCUUAAGCUGGGCUUAUUCUUUGCCCGAGGUGGUUAUGGAAAGUUUGCACAUCUGUUUUAUGGUUUUUUGAAUGUUGUAAUGUUUGUGUUUUACGCUCUAUAACCAACUUUCUGGUCUUCGUAACGUUAAAUAUGUAUAACUUACCUCUCGCACAACCGCUUUACUGAGACAAUGUUAAAAAUUCGCGUGGGUUGUUUGUGCAGGAAGUUUUUUUAGCGUCAUCGAUAAACUUUCGUAGGCGAAAAGUUCGCGCAGUUCUGCGAGCGAUUUUUCUGAUCGCGAUCGAAAGCAGAAGUCGCAAUUAAGCUUUCUGGACUGUUUUCGAGGAUAGUUUCGUAUGCUGUUGGCUGUAAAGACGUCCUGUUUCGGUUACUCCGCUAUGAGCGCGAGUUUUGCGAUUUUCUCUUUAUCCACGCCGCACUAAAAAUUACGUACUUAAUUUUGGUUCGACGAACUGCUUAAAUGGCUCAAUACGAAGAGAAGGAGCAGACGCAAAAUUCGUAUAUAAAAAAAUUCCGAAUUUCUGUUUUUAAAUCGAAUAAAAUUAUAAGAAUGUGUUUAGAAAUUGCAUUUAACACGAUUAGUUAUCUCAAAGUAUCAUAAAUCUCGCGGGAUAAGUUGUUAUAUAAAAGUUAUAUUUAUCUAGACAGUGUUCUAAUAUAAAAACAAAAAAACCGGAAAAGUGCAUCCGCGUUAAAGAAAUAAAGAAAAUUAGAACUUUUAUUCCGCUCCCCGAUAUGAUUAAUGUCGUAUAAUUCGUAUCGAUUUGAGGCGUUUGUGUAUAUAGAAUCGUCCUGUAUGGAACCAAAAAUGAAAACCCCGCUCGAUAUAGAUCGGUUCCAGUAAUUUGUUGCUUUUAAUUUAUUCCGUAACCUUACAGAUUCGGUUUCGAUAAUUAGUUAUAUAUGGUCGCAUAUUAUUUAUUUAUUAUAAUCAAAAGCAGAAGAGACGGCGGUGGUGGGCGAAGUCGUAGUUUAGUGUUGCCAGACGCGAGUAACACGAUACUUUUUCGGUAGAAAAAUGGAAUCGCGUUUUCGUCGUCGUACGUAGAUUUUGAGAAGGAGUUUGUUUUAUCGCGGCGGAUGUGGAUAAAUUGUCAUUACUGCGCUUUAUGUCAUGUUGCGGGUCCCCCUUCUAUUUUUCCGUCUGUCUCUCUCUCUCUCUCUCUUAUUUUUGCCGUCCCCCCUUUUAUUUUUCUUUUGCUCUUCGAACGACUGGGCGUUUGCUGGCACGAAGACUACAUCCCUAAUUAGUAACGGCCGACAGGGGAAUGGCCAGUGGCAGCAUCAUCGAAUCAAAAGGGAAAACCAUCCCAGCGGUCUUGGAUUCCGAUGCAAAAUGCAGAUAUUAAUAACAAUGUAGAGACGGUGUUUGACAGUGAUAAAUGGCGUAUCGUCUUCAACCAAUGGCCCCAGAUCUGGUGCAGACAAAUCAGUAUGUAAAUGAAUCGGAACGCAACCAAAUAGCUGCUAGGCGCCAUUUUUCAGCCACUAGUAUACAAGUGCCGAGAGAGAGGAUGUAAAUUUGUUUCUCUCUCAUCUCUCUUUCUCUCAUUCUCACUCUCUCACUCCAGCUACUUUUCUCUGGCUCUUCUAAUGGACAACAGGACGCUGCUGUGCAACAUUUCCGACUACUCGUCGAACUGAUUUGUAGCAACAUCACAGGAAAAAAAAAAAAAAUGCAAUAAUAAAAACCAGUUUAUGAGAAAAUAACUAAAAUUUUCUACAGUUUAAUCAAUUAUCGAACACCCCGUGCGGUUUUUAUUUUCGGAAACUGGUUUUGAAAAGUUCGGAAUGGUUAAAACAGCCUUAUCAGCAACUAGAUCGAGAUCGGCCAUUAUUUAAGUGUCCGACUCAUCAAACUGCUUGUUUUAUGCUUGGGUGCGUUUUCCUGAAACUGGCCUUUAUUAUUAUCGUUAUAUAUAUAUAUAUAUGCGGUAUUUGCCUCGUAACAUUUUGUCGUUUCGGAAGAAAAUUCCGAGAAUUGUCGGUAAAUAAACUUGUACGAAAAGGACAUUAAUUGAAUGGUAAAAAUCAUAAUCCGGUUUGCAGCCAACAAUUUUUUAAAGAUCGUGAGUUAAACAGGAUAUAAUUUAGCAGAAAAAUAGUAAUAAUAAUAAUAAAUAAUUGACGUACAUGUGCAGGGAUUCCCUCAAAUUUUCUGCAUGUUUUUUUUUUUUGGUUAAAAUCCGUGGGUGUAGAAAUAUGGAAGAGAGUAAAUCCUCGUGUUUUUUUUUACCUUCAUCGAUAAUUAGGAGCGCUCUUAUAUGAGGGAAAUAUAUCAGGAUCAUUAAUAAAGUGUUGCUACGUCUUCUUCUUAUAGUGGGGCGUUUAGUUUCCGAGGAAUCUGUCUGACCGUUGCUGGGGUUUCACUGCGGGUGGUUUUGUAGCAGUUGUAAGUCCCACAUCGGGUUCAACGUCUGAUCAAAGAGUUCCGUCUGCUGAAACAGACCACAACAAAUUGUUUCUUUCCUUGGUUAAUAGAAAGAAACGGGCAUUUUCUAAACAACAAAGUUUGUAACAUACGAUGAUUUAGUUCCGGUAGAUGAUCUGCAUUGAUUGUUAUUAUUCUCUCUCCUCCCCCUCGUCGGUCAGUCGCGUUUGGGUCGCAAAAAGAAAGAACUAAAAAUAACAACAGAAGUCUUUUAUUUUUCACUUAGCGCUUUCGGAUAAAUUUAAUUUACUGGCUGUAGCGAUGUUUAAAGGUGGCGAUCGAAAAUACGGUUCCGGAAUCGGAGGCUUGUAUGUGUGUGUGACAAAGACGUCGUCUGACACUCUCUCCGCCCAUCUAACCUGCCCGUAUCGUCGCCCAUUUAAUAUUGAUAGUAACCGGGGUGUUGGUGUAAUUACCUGGACGAGGAUGGGAGGGGCGAGAUGACUUCCCCAUCUCCCCGGACGCUAAAGAAAUGAAUGGUGUCGGCACGUGACCGUGUCUGAGCGCUUCGGUUUCUCUACUGACUCGGAACUGACUUCUACCUGGCUCACACUAAACGAUACGUUCCGUUACAGAGCGCAAACGGAGUGGAUAGCGCUCUUAAAAUGCCCACCAAGCAAACGAGUUUUUUUUUUUUUUUUAGGUUAACAGCCUCCAGCUUCAAGUUGCUUGUUUCUUUUUUUUUUGGCUACCCCGACGUCACUUGUACGUUGGAUGGGAGGGAGGAGUUUACGCUCGCGCCCUUUAAUUCUCCGACGCGCGCCGGGAGGAGUCGUCGCCUGUCCCAUAAUACUGAUAGAUUGGACCCAUCACUUCUUUUUCUCGGUCCUUCACUCGUCUUGUCCUUGCGCGUGCCAUCUCCCGACAUCCACUUCCUUUGUGCAAUAAUUUGUACAGUUUUUUUUCUUCUUCUUCUGACCGUACUCCGGAUCAAAUGGCACUCGGCUCCUUUCUACCAGAUUUCGUUUAUUUGUUUCCUUAUAAAUAACUGCUACGUAUAACCACAAAAGAAAAAGCGUUCAGAAGGCGCAAACUCUUUCAGUACGUACGUAUAUAUUUAUUUAAAAAUAUGCCAAAGUUUCUCGUUAAUGAGAUUAGCGGUUAAUCGAUAUAUUCGGUUAGGUCGGAUUACCAGUAUGCCAUCAUUUUUUUUUUAUUUUUAUUUUUA